GGAUGCUUCGGGCGAAGAGGGCCGCCCCCGGCCCGGGUCACCCGGGGCCCGGGGUACGACGGGCGGAGAGGGGCGGCUGCUGGCCAGGUGAUGCCGAAGCGCUCCCUCCAGCCCCGCGGUCCGCACCACGGCCGACGUUGCCUGUCAGAUCGCUCCUGAGAUUCUUCCGAGCCCCUUCGAUGCGGUGCAGUUGACAUUUCCUACGUGUCGCUCCCUCUCCGUUGUGCACACUUGAGAAAGCCCAGUCUGGAGGAACCCCACCAUUCUCCAUCGUGAAUGCUGCAGAAACACCACAGACCUGUGCUGGCUGGCUUCACUUUAAACUUAGAAGGAGCACUUCACACUCCUUGGCAAUCCUGUGAUUCUUCUCCCAAGGGGGACAUGGGUUUGAACCCUGGUCCGGGAAGAUCCCACAUGCCGCGGAGCAACGAAGCCCGUGUGCCACAACCACUGAGCCUGCUAGAGCCCGCGAGCCACAACUACUGAGCCCGUGAGCUACAACUACCGAAGCCUGUGUGCCUAGAGCCGGUGCUCUGCAACAAGAGAAGCCACAGCAAUGAGAAGCCCACACACCGCAACGAAGAGUAGCCCCUGCCGGCCACAACUAGAGAAAGCCUGUGGGCAUCAACGA